AACGAACGCUGGCGGCAGGCUUAACACAUGCAAGUCGAGCGGAAGUUGGAGAGCUUGCUCUUCAACUUUAGCGGCGGACGGGUGAGUAACACGUGGGCAACCUGCCCUGCAGAUCGGGAUAACUCCGGGAAACCGGUGCUAAUACCGAAUAGUUUUCGCCACCUCCUGGUGGCGUACGGAAAGACGGUUUCGGCUGUCACUGCAGGAUGAGCCCGCGGCGCAUUAGCUAGUUGGUGGGGUAACGGCCCACCAAGGCGACGAUGCGUAGCCGACCUGAGAGGGUGAUCGGCCACACUGGGACUGAGACACGGCCCAGACUCCUACGGGAGGCAGCAGUAGGGAAUCUUCCGCAAUGGACGAAAGUCUGACGGAGCAACGCCGCGUGAGUGACGAAGGUUUUCGGAUCGUAAAACUCUGUUGUGAGGGAAGAACAAGUACCAACUAACUACUGGUACCUUGACGGUACCUCACCAGAAAGCCACGGCUAACUACGUGCCAGCAGCCGCCGUAAUAC
rnacentral:rRNA from 1 species